rnacentral:tRNA from 1 species
GCGGAUGUGGCGGAACUGGCAGACGCGCACGGCUUAGGACCGUGUGCCUUCGGGCUUGAGAGUUCGACUCUCUCCAUCCGCACCA